CGCGUAGGCGGGGAUAAAAGUCAGAUGUGAAAUCCCCGGGCUCAACCUGGGAACUGCAUCUGAUACUGGCAAGCUUGAGUCUCGUAGAGGGGGUAGAAUUCCAGGUGUAGCGGUGAAAUGCGUAGAGAUCUGGAGGAAUACCGGUGGCGAAGGCGGCCCCCUGGACGAAGACUGACGCUCAGGUGCGAAAGCGUGGGGAGCAAACA
rnacentral:rRNA from 1 species